rnacentral:rRNA from 1 species
GACGAACCGUGCGAACGUUAUUCGGAAUCAUUGGGCUUAAAGGGCGCGUAGACGGGUGACCGCGUCGAGUGCUGAAAGCCCCCGGCUCAACCGGGGAACGGGCCUCGAAACGGGUCGCCUCGAGGGGAGGAGGGGGACCUGGAACGUCCGGUGGAGCGGUGAAAUGCGUUGAGAUCGGACGGAACGCCGACGGCGAAAGCAAGGUCCUGGACUCCUACUGACGUUGAGGCGCGAAAGCCAGGGGAGCGAACGGG